UUUUCCCAUUUUCGUUCCAUCUCUCUCGAAGCAGCCCUUCCUCCCUCUCUCUUCUCUCCUCUCAUCUCCUACGAAGCCCUAGCCUGCACCUCUCCUUCUUUCUCAAUCCUUCUUCUCUCUUCUCUUCUAUCUCUCUGUGUCUGUGAAAUGAAACCCUAAGGUUUCUUUCUUCUGUAAAUUCCCAACUCUGCAACUUCAAUCUUCAGAAGACCCACAAGCCCCUCUCUCUUUCUUCUCUUAUAUUCAAACUCUCUAAAACCUUUCUUCAUUGAAUAGGUAAGCCUAAAAAUCCCUUCCCCUUGAUUCUCUCUAACUCUCUAUAUCUGAACCCUCCGAGGCUAUCUCCACAACCUGCAACUAGCCUCCUUGCAAUUUUUCUUAACUUUUCGGACUCCGUUUCAAUCUUCUUUUCACAUAUAGCCCAAAACCCUAGAUCUUCUUUCUUCAUUCCCUGUACUUUUCUAAAGAGAACCUACCUUCAGCUAGAUCCUCAUUUAAGCUCUUGUGGUCAGAUCCGAAUGACCUCUGAGUCUCUUAGGGGAACUAAGGUGACUUUGAGGAAUGUCUCCAAUUUGGUCAGAUGGCAAUCGAGGCGUGGAGGGUUUUGGAAAUUUGGUUAUAUUUUAUUGUAUUUUUUGUAUAUUUUUUUGUAUUUGUUUUCUGUGAAUGGAAUUUGUAUGUACCCCCACCCCCUUUGUAUUGCAACUAUUGUUUAUAUUAACUUUCAUUUUUCCUGUAACUUUCAUUUCCUUGUAUCCCUUGUUGUAACUUUUGCACGCACGUCUCCCAUACAUUGUAUACUACAUUCCUCCCUUCAAACACGUGUACCCCCUUUUUUCCUUUAUUAAAAGAAAAUGUGGCUUGAUGUAA